CUCAGGAAGUUUGCACCUCAGUUUAUGGGAUGUCUCCUGUCUCCAAGGUCAUCAACCUUGCAGAAGCCUGCACAUCCACCCGACCUUCCACAUCUCCCAUCUUAAACCAGCUCCAGACCAGUCAGCCCAGUCCAUCCUGCUGUGAGCAGAUCCACAGCUGAGUCCAGAUGGUUCUGCACUAACCACCUGGGACCACCGCCAGGUACAAGCACCGGACAGCCUUCUCCGUUGCUGCCCCCACCCUCUGGAACUAAUU